AAGUAUAGGUGCCGAUAUUCUAUGUUUUUAGAUUUCUGAAUAUAUUCAAUGGAUUUUUUUUAAUAGAAAGGUAGUAUGCUAUCUGCUUCAUUUUUUUUAAGUAAAUUUAACUGGACAUGUGAAAUAACUAGACUUUGAACUUAAAAUCUCAUGUAUCGACUAUCAAAUUUUUUGCUACUUACGUUAGGGACGGUCGGUAAUGCAUGUAUUCUGUGGAUUGAACUAUAAUUUUGAGAUAUUUGUAGAGGAGCUUUUGAGG
rnacentral:lncRNA from 1 species